GCAAGUCGAGCGCGCCCUUCGGGGUGAGCGGCGGACGGGUGAGUAACGCGUGGGAACGUGCCCUUUGCUGCGGAAUAGCCACUGGAAACGGUGAGUAAUACCGCAUGAGCCCUUCGGGGGAAAGAUUUAUCGGCAAGGGAUCGGCCCGCGUUGGAUUAGGUAGUUGGUGGGGUAAUGGCCUACCAAGCCGACGAUCCAUAGCUGGUUUCAGAGGAUGAUCAGCCACACUGGGACUGAGACACGGCCCAGACUCCUACGGGAGGCAGCAGUGGGGAAUCUUAGACAAUGGGCGCAAGCCUGAUCUAGCCAUGCCGCGUGAGUGACGAAGGCCCUAGGGUCGUAAAGCUCUUUCGCCUGUGAAGAUAAUGACGGUAGCAGGUAAAGAAACCCCGGCUAACUCCGUGCCAGCAGCCGCGGUAAUACGGAGGGGGUUAGCGUUGUUCGGAAUUACUGGGCGUAAAGCGCGCGUAGGCGGACCAUCAAGUUGGGGGUGAAAUCCCGGGGCUCAACCCCGGAACUGCCUCCAAAACUGGCGGUCUGGAGUUCGAGAGAGGUGAGUGGAAUUCCGAGUGUAGAGGUGAAAUUCGUAGAUAUUCGGAGGAACACCAGUGGCGAAAGCGGCUCACUGGCUCGAGACUGACGCUGAGGUGCGAAAGUGUGGGGAGCAAACAGGAUUAGAUACCCUGGUAGUCCACACCGUAAACGAUGAAUGCCAGUCGUCGGCAAGCAUGCUUGUCGGUGACACACCUAACGGAUUAAGCAUUCGCUGGGGAGUACGGCGCAAGGUUACACUCAAUGAUGACGA
rnacentral:rRNA from 1 species